rnacentral:rRNA from 1 species
GAGCGGCAGCACGGGUACUUGUACCUGGUGGCGAGCGGCGGACGGGUGAGUAAUGCCUAGGAAUCUGCCUGGUAGUGGGGGAUAACGCUCGGAAACGGACGCUAAUACCGCAUACGUCCUACGGGAGAAAGCAGGGGACCUUCGGGCCUUGCGCUAUCAGAUGAGCCUAGGUCGGAUUAGCUAGUUGGUGAGGUAAUGGCUCACCAAGGCGACGAUCCGUAACUGGUCUGAGAGGAUGAUCAGUCACACUGGAACUGAGACACGGUCCAGACUCCUACGGGAGGCAGCAGUGGGGAAUAUUGGACAAUGGGCGAAAGCCUGAUCCAGCCAUGCCGCGUGUGUGAAGAAGGUCUUCGGAUUGUAAAGCACUUUAAGUUGGGAGGAAGGGCAUUUACCUAAUACGUGAGUGUUUUGACGUUACCGACAGAAUAAGCACCGGCUAACUCUGUGCCAGCAGCCGCGGUAAUACAGAGGGUGCAAGCGUUAAUCGGAAUUACUGGGCGUAAAGCGCGCGUAGGUGGUUUGUUAAGUUGGAUGUGAAAUCCCCGGUCUCAACCUGGGAACUGCAUCCAAAACUGGCAAGCUAGAGUAUGGUAGAGGGUGGGGUAUUAUCCAGUGUAGCGGUGAAAUGCGUAGA